rnacentral:rRNA from 1 species
CCUACGGGAGGCAGCAGUGAGGAAUAUUGGUCAAUGGGCUUACGCCUGAACCAGCCAAGUCGCGUGAGGGAAGACUGCCCUAUGGGUUGUAAACCUCUUUUGUCAGGGAGCAACGUCCGCUACGUGUAGCGCGAUUGAGAGUACCUGAAGAAAAAGCAUCGGCUAACUCCGUGCCAGCAGCCGCGGUAAUACGGAGGAUGCGAGCGUUAUCCGGAUUUAUUGGGUUUAAAGGGUGCGUAGGCGGAAUGCCAAGUCAGCGGUAAAAUCGCGGGGCUCAACCUCGCUCCGCCGUUGAAACUGGCGGUCUUGAGUGGGCGAGAAGUAGGCGGAAUGCGUGGUGUAGCGGUGAAAUGCAUAGAUAUCACGCAGAACUCCGAUUGCGAAGGCAGCAUACCGGCGCCCAACUGACGCUGAAGCACGAAAGCGUGGGUAUCGAACAGGAUUAGAUACCUUGGUAGUC